AUUGAACGCUGGCGGCAUGCUUUACACAUGCAAGUCGAACGGUAACAGGUUAAGCUGACGAGUGGUGAACGGGUGAGUAAUGCAUCGGAACGUGCCCGGUCGUGGGGGAUAACGCAGCGAAAGCUGCGCUAAUACCGCAUACGAUCUAAGGAUGAAAGCGGGGGACCGUAAGGCCUCGCGCGAUCGGAGCGGCCGAUGUCAGAUUAGGUAGUUGGUGGGGUAAAGGCGCACCAAGCCAACGAUCUGUAGCUGGUCUGAGAGGACGACCAGCCACACUGGGACUGAGACACGGCCCAGACUCCUACGGGAGGCAGCAGUGGGGAAUUUUGGACAAUGGGCGAAAGCCUGAUCCAGCAAUGCCGCGUGCAGGAAGAAGGCCUUCGGGUUGUAAACUGCUUUUGUACGGAGCGAAAAGGUCUCCUCUAAUACAGGGGGCUCAUGACGGUACCGUAAGAAUAAGCACCGGCUAACUACGUGCCAGCAGCCGCCGUAA
rnacentral:rRNA from 1 species